AGAACUGAAACAUCUUAGUACCCGGAGGAAGAGAAAGAAAAUUCGAUUCCCUUAGUAGCGGCGAGCGAAACGGGAAGAGCCCAAACCAAAAAGCUUGCUUGUUGGGGUUGUAGGACACUCUAUACGGAGUUACAAAGGACGACAUUAGACGAAUCAUCUGGAAAGAUGAAUCAAAGAAGGUAAUAAUCCUGUAGUCGAAAAUGUUGUCUCUCUUGAGUGGAUCCUGAGUACGACGGAGCACGUGAAAUUCCGUCGGAAUCUGGGAGGACCAUCUCCUAAGGCUAAAUACUCUCUAGUGACCGAUAGUGAACCAGUACCGUGAGGGAAAGGUGAAAAGCACCCCGGAAGGAGAGUGAAAUAGAACCUGAAACCGUGUGCUUACAAGUAGUCAGAGCCCGUUAAUGGGUGAUGGCGUGCCUUUUGUAGAAUGAACCGGCGAGUUACGAUUUGAUGCAAGGUUAAGCAGUAAAUGUGGAGCCGUAGCGAAAGCGAGUCUGAAUAGGGCGUUUAGUAUUUGGUCGUAGACCCGAAACCAGGUGAUCUACCCUUGGUCAGGUUGAAGUUCAGGUAACACUGAAUGGAGGACCGAACCGACUUACGUUGAAAAGUGAGCGGAUGAACUGAGGGUAGCGGAGAAAUUCCAAUCGAACCUGGAGAUAGCUGGUUCUCUCCGAAAUAGCUUUAGGGCUAGCCUCAAGUGAUGAUUAUUGGAGGUAGAGCACUGUUUGGACGAGGGGCCCCUCUCGGGUUACCGAAUUCAGACAAACUCCGAAUGCCAAUUAAUUUAACUUGGGAGUCAGAACAUGGGUGAUAAGGUCCGUGUUCGAAAGGGAAACAGCCCAGACCACCAGCUAAGGUCCCAAAAUAUAUGUUAAGUGGAAAAGGAUGUGGCGUUGCCCAGACAACUAGGAUGUUGGCUUAGAAGCAGCCAUCAUUUAAAGAGUGCGUAAUAGCUCACUAGUCGAGUGACACUGCGCCGAAAAUGUACCGGGGCUAAACAUAUUACCGAAGCUGUGGAUUGUCCUUUGGACAAUGGUAGGAGAGCGUUCUAAGGGCGUUGAAGCAUGAUCGUAAGGACAUGUGGAGCGCUUAGAAGUGAGAAUGCCGGUGUGAGUAGCGAAAGACGGGUGAGAAUCCCGUCCACCGAUUGACUAAGGUUUCCAGAGGAAGGCUCGUCCGCUCUGGGUUAGUCGGGUCCUAAGCUGAGGCCGACAGGCGUAGGCGAUGGAUAACAGGUUGAUAUUCCUGUACCACCUAUAAUCGUUUUAAUCGAUGGGGGGACGCAGUAGGAUAGGCGAAGCGUGCGAUUGGAUUGCACGUCUAAGCAGUAAGGCUGAGUAUUAGGCAAAUCCGGUACUCGUUAAGGCUGAGC
rnacentral:rRNA from 1 species